AGGACGAACGCUGGCGGCGUGCUUAACACAUGCAAGUCGAGCGGAAAGGCCCUUCGGGGUACUCGAGCGGCGAACGGGUGAGUAACACGUGAGCAACCUGCCCUUAGCUCUGGGAUAGCUCCGGGAAACCGGAAUUAAUACCGGAUACGACCUAGGCCGACAUCGGCCAUGGUGGAAAGUUUUUUCGGCUAGGGAUGGACUCGCGGCCUAUCAGCUAGUUGGUGGGUAAAGGCCUACCAAGGCGACGACGGGU
rnacentral:rRNA from 1 species